GUUAGAAAAUUUCAUUAUAUUCUGAAGUUAAAGAGAAAUUGUAAAGAGUAUUACUUUAAGAAAAAAAAAUAGAAAUAUAAAAUAUAUUUUAUCGCAUACCUUAUGGACUUCGUUGGCUUGAUAUUCAGGCGUGCAAUUAUGAUGUAUUAUACCGAUUCCACCACACAGAGCCAUGGCAAUUGCCAUAUCCGAUUCCGUAACAGUAUCCAUUGGGGAGGAAACCAACGGAGCUUUCAAUACAAUCUUCUUAGUAAGCGGUGAUAAUAAAUCUACCUCAUCUGCGGUAAAAUCAAUAUAUCCUGGCAAAAUGAUGAAAUCAUUAUAUGUAAGUCCAUCGCCGUUGGCAAACAGUUGUGCCAGCGAAAGUCCAUCUUCCGGCAACGGUACGUCUGCCGGUAUCGUGUCAUUAAUUAUAUAGUCAGCCAUUAUCUUAAACGUAUUCUUUCGAUCUUUCAAACUUAGGAAAUACUGAUUAGUCUAUCGUAGAUUUUCUUCUUCCAACGUGGAUCACCACUAUGAUUCGAAGAAUAAACGUCGGUGUCCCGGAAAAUAUACUCCCCGAUAACCUGGUAAAAUGACCGAAAAACAUGUGCGUACGCCUCUUAUAUACCUGUAUGUUCUCCCGCCUUCAAGAUGGCGCUAUAGAAGCUUCCGAAAAUAUACGAAGUUCACCGAAGUUUAUACGGUUACGGCUACUCCCUUCUGCGAUUAAUAGAAAGAUUCCUAUAUAGUUACGUAUUUUCUAGUGGAAAAAGUAUUACUAACCCUUAAGGAUGACAAAAAUUUUAGAGAAAAAUUAAUGAACAGUCGUCGAUAGGUGUUUAGUAAUUCAAGACGAAAAACGCUCUUACAUUUCAAUUGUUUUGUUUUCUUUAUUUUAUUACAAGUCGUGUUUUUUUUUUUUUUUUUUUUUUUUUUUUUUUCUAUUUGGAAAAUUAAAACAGGCCUAGUUUAUUUACAUUUAUAUUAUAGAAUAUUUAUCAAGAACUAAUCAAAUAUUUUAUUAUACAUAUAUAAAAGAAUCUUUAUAUAAAAAUAACAAAAUAUAUCAAAAUACUUUUCGUUUUACAAACGUUUCAUUUUUCAUUUUGUAUAUAACGAAAUAAUCAUUAGUAAGAGAUUAAGAUAUGCUGUUACAUUUCCUACAGGCACGCUGAAAAUUACAAAAAUCUACAGAAAUUUUAAUAACUUAUUCUUAAUUGUUAUAUAUGCCACUAUGUAUUAUCAUAAAAUUCUAACGAUCAAAAGUCUUACCGGUUGGAAAAAAAUUCUAUAAAAUGUAUUAAAGAAACUAUUAAGAGCUCCUUUAAAGGAUGAAAUCACAUAAUUUGUUAUGAGUUCAAUAUACGUGAAGUCCUCAUAAUCAUCAUAAUCUUCAUAAAAGAAGUAAUCAUAGAUCAUAGGUAAGAAUACAACCAAGGCAUACAUUAUAGUACCAAAAAAUACUGAAAUCAAAUGUAUUUCUCAAAUGUUUUUUAGAAUUUAUCUUAUGUAAAAUAUUACACACGCUUACCAAUGGUUUUUAAUUUUAUAAAUCGUUUUUCAAUACAUUUUUCCUUCUUAUGUUUAACUUUAUGUAUAAAUGUAGACGAUGUGAUGGAAUUUUCAUAAAUAUCCGCAGCUAUCUUAGAAGGCAUGUUUUGUACGGUUUUAUUUUGAGUGCCUCCUCCAGUCGGAUUCAAAGGUGGCCUAAUAUUUCUAUUAACAUAUAAUUGCUUUGUUUUUGUUGUAUCACUUGAGCGUCGCAGAGCGGAAUCCCUAAAUAAUAUUGAUUUAUAUAUGUAUCCGCAUAACUAUUUAUUUGUGUCCAUAUAUGCGAACAUGCAUAAUGUAAAACUUACAGAUUUUUAUUAAUUAUACUCGACAAGGCCGAACAUUGUUCUAUCGUUUGCAUUUCUGGAUUGAAUUUUCCUUCUUCGUUAUAAAUAUUAUUACAGAAUGCUUUGUUUUUUCUUCUUUUAAUAUAAGGAGUUUCUAAUGCCACUUUAUGAAAAUAUUUUUCUUGUAUAUUUUCUAUGUUGCCUGUUUUUUGUUUUAAAUUAUUAUAGUAUUCUAGAUAACUUUUAUUUAAUAAUUCUUGUGUUUUAAGAGAUAUUCUUAUAGGACUUUCAAUAGAAUUAUUUUUUUCUAAUCUUUCCAAACUAUUAUAUUUAUUUUCCGCUUUUUGCUGGCAGAAGACAUCACAAGACACAAUAGGAUUUUCAACUAAAGAUUUUAUUUUAAUGCAAUCCGUAUUUAUAUCUUUCUUCCUUUCAUCUUCUUCUUUCUUUAACAUUAAGUAAUGGCAAUUUUUUUCUUUUGUACAUUGUUCAACUUUUGAAAAUUUUUGAUCGCGUUUACAGUUUGUUCGCUGAUAGCCUGGCCAUAAUAAAGUGCAAUUAGAAUUUAUUAUUCCGGAUCUAGAUUUUUUUUGAAAGCAAAAUCUUGCUUUUUUUGAAAAAUUCGCUUUUAUUCGCCUUCGCCUAGAUGUAAUAUAUGGUUCUGAAGAUUGAAAGAGGCUUUUAAUAUGUAUAUUUUCUUUUUGCAAUAAAUUCUGUUCAGAUCUUAUUUUACGCCGUUGACUUAAAGUAAAUUUUUUAAAAUUUGGAACUUUGCUAGAUAUAUAAGGAUUUGAAUCAUUGAUUUCUGUUGGCUGUUGAUGCGAUGUAACAUUCAUAUGAUCGUUAGAACAAUUAAAAGUAUUAUUAUUAUCAACGGAAAUAUAGAUUUUAUCAUUGUUUGGUAAAGAGGAAGUUUCAUAAUAAUUUUCUUCAACUGUGGGCUGCUCUGAAGUUCUAUCCUCUAUUUUCUUAUUUAAAAUAAGAGCUUCUUGUGUAUCUGUAGUAUCAAUGUUCUUAAUAUUUACUAUUUCAUGUUUUUGUUGUAUACUGUCGAAAUUUUGUUUUUCUAGCGAUAAUGUAUGAACGUCUGAAUUUUUAUGUUUUAUUUUAAAUUGCGUAGUUCCAGUUAAGUCAGUUAUUGGCAAAGUACUUCCAAUACAAGGGGAUAUAUUGAUGUCCCCUGACGUACAAGUUGAUAUUUGUAGAGGUAUAUUUUGAUAUGUAAUUAUUGGUACUUGUACAUUGUAACAUUGUGUUGUAUACUGAGGUAUAGGACUAGGUAUUUUGUUAAGAGGUAAAGACUGUACUUUCUUUUUCAUUACAAGCAAAAUUUGACCAUCGGAUUCCUAAAUAAAUAUAAAUUUUGCUUGAUUAAAAUGUCAAAUUAUUGAUUUAUAAUCUACCACUACUUACAUUAGCAAAAUUUAUAAAAACGUUAAUAAGAUACAUAAAUCGUAUAAAUACUGAAUGUAUUAAUACAUACAUUAGCAGAUUGUAAUGAUUGAUUUUCUGAUAGGACACUUAAAUCAUUCUUUGUUUUAGUUUCUAAUAUAGAUUUCUCAUUAUAGGUAGAGGUUGAUAUUUGUUCACCUAUGGAUACUUCCUUUUCUAUGAUAUUUUUAGUUUUUUCUGAAAUGGGAUCAACAUUCUCUUGGAUCUCUAUAGAAUCUAUUUUACUUAUAUUAUUUAUAUUGAUAAAAUUAUUUGUAUUAUGAUCCUUUGCUAGACUGAGUUUACAUUCUAAUUUGUUGUUAUCUUCCACAUUACUUUUUUUAUCUCUGUCUAGUUUUUGCACGAAAUGACCAUUAUUAUUUUCAAUGAUCUCUUCAUUUUCUGGCUCCUUCAUACUUUCUUGUGCUAUCUGAUGGCUAUAUAAAAUAUAUAUUUUAGAUGCCACGAAGUCUGUUGUAAAGUCUACUGUUAUAAUUACAACCAAAAUUAAAUAUUUCUUAUUAAUAAUUAAAUAAAUUGUACAUAUUUAAGUUUUUUCCAGAAGCAGUUUUCUUCGCGAUUUCCCAGGGAGAUAGUGAUUGUUCUAAGAUAAAAGCACUCUGUCGUGAUUCUUUCGAGGUAUUAUAUCGUUUAAUAGAUCCUAUUGGUGUGGUCUGAUUUUGAACUGCAGUUACACUAUAAAAUAAUAGUUCAAUAAAUUAUUCUAUAAAUGCAAAACAUUCAUUUUGUAUAUUGUAAAACAUUGUACCGCUUAAAACGAGGAUCCAAAGUACCAGAUUUCCUUUUUAUUGUAUUAACUGGUAAUGUUAAUUGAUGUCCAGAAGAAUUAAAACCUUUCAUUUCCAUUGUUUUGAACGAUCUAUAAUUUUAAAAGAAUCCCUAAGAUGUAUUUUGUACCUUUAUAAAAUCUUAUGAUAAUUAUGAGGUUAUUUUUGUAAUAUAUCACUUACUGACAUUGUGGUGUGUGUACUGCAGUACGACUUCUCCUAGGUGUACCUGUUAAUGUAAUAACACAUGGAGGAUGAAUUAUGUCAUCAGCAUCAUCUAAUAAUUUGCGUGGUGGAAUUUUUGGCCAUGAUGGAUCUUCAGGUACUCUAAAUUUAUGUCAAAGCUUUGUUAACAUAUAUUAAAAACAAAACAUAGGUUUAUCUUACUUACCUCAACGAUCCAACAUUGUAUUUAUGUGAAACUGGUAAUAAAUUUUCACUGUUUACUACAGUAAAAUAUA